AGAGUGAACGCUGGCGGCAGGCCUAACACAUGCAAGUCGAACGGCAGCACGAGAGAGCUUGCUCUCUUGGUGGCGAGUGGCGGACGGGUGAGGAAUACGUCGGAAUCUGCCUUUUUGUGGGGGAUAACGUAGGGAAACUUACGCUAAUACCGCAUACGACCUACGGGUGAAAGCGGAGGACCUUCGGGCUUCGCGCAGAAAGAUGGACGCCGACGUCGGUAUUAG
rnacentral:rRNA from 1 species